UCCAAAUACAAGGUCCAGUCCACAGCUGAAAAAACACACACACACACACACACAGGUCCAAAUACAAGGUCUAGUCCACAGCUGAAAACACACACACACACACCAAAAUACAAGGUCCAGUCCACAGCUGAAAACACACACACAGGUCAAAAUACAAGGUCCAGUCCACAGCUGAAAACACACACCAAAAUACAAGGUCCAGUCCACAGCUGAAAACACACAGGUCCAGUCCACAGCUGAAAACACACAGGUCCAAAUACCAGGUCCAGUCCACAGCUGAAAACACACACACAGGUCCAAAUACCAGGUCCAGUCCACAGCUGAAACACACACAGGUCCAAAUACCAGGUCCAGUCCACAGCUGAAACACACACAGGUCCAAAUACCAGGUCCAGUCCACAGCUGAAAACAGACAGGUCCAAAUACCAGGUCCAGUCCACAGCUGAAACACACAGGUCCAAAUACAAGGUCCAGUCCACAGCUGAAACACACACAGGUCCAAAUACCAGGUCCAGUCCACAGCUGAAACACACACAGGUCCAAAUACCAGGUCCA